rnacentral:misc_RNA from 1 species
GAUGAAGAACGUAGCGAAAUGCGAUAAGUAAUGUGAAUUGCAGAAUUCAGUGAAUCAUCGAAUCUUUGAACGCACAUUGCGCCCGCUAGUAUUCUGGCGGGCAUGCCUGUCCGAGCGUCAUUUCAACCCUCAAGCCCCCGGGCUUGGUGUUGGGGAUCGGCGAGCCUCCGCGCCCGCCGUCCCCUAAAUCUAGUGGCGGUCUCGCUGUAGCUUCCUCUGCGUAGUAGCACACCUCGCACUGGGAAACAGCGCGGCCACGCCGUUAAACCCCCAACUUCGGAACGUUUGACCUCGGAUCAGGUAGGAAUACCCGCUGAACUUAAGCAUAUCAAUAAGCGGAGGA